GAUGAACGCUGGCGGCGUGCCUAAUACAUGCAAGUCGGGCGAACUGAUUAGAAGCUUGCUUCUAUGACGUUAGCGGCGGACGGGUGAGUAACACGUGGGCAACCUGCCUGUAAGACUGGGAUAACUUCGGGAAACCGAAGCUAAUACCGGAUAGGAUCUUCUCCUUCAUGGGAGAUGAUUGAAAGAUGGUUUCGGCUAUCACUUACAGAUGGGCCCGCGGUGCAUUAGCUAGUUGGUGAGGUAACGGCUCACCAAGGCAACGAUGCAUAGCCGACCUGAGAGGGUGAACGGCCAGACUGGGACUGAGACACGGCCCAGACUCCUACGGGAGGCAGCAGUAGGGAAUCUUCCGCAAUGGACGAAAGUCUGACGGAGCAACGCCGCGUGAGUGAUGAAGGCUUUCGGGUCGUAAAACUCUGUUGUUAGGGAAGAACAAGUACGAGAGUAACUGCUCGUACCUUGACGGUACCUAACCAGAAAGCCACGGCUAACUACGUGCCAGCCGCCGCGGUAAGAC
rnacentral:rRNA from 1 species